rfam:Roseburia intestinalis XB6B4 draft genome.
GGCCUAAUGGCUCAGUUGGUUAGAGCGCCGCCCUGUCACGGCGGAGGUCGCGGGUUCGAGUCCCGCUUGGGUCG